AUCCCUGUGUCUGGGGUGCUCCUGGAGACCCAGCCCUCAGGGGGCCAGGCGGUUGAAGGGGAGACGCUGGUCCUUGUCUGCUCCGUGGCUGAAGGCACAGGGGAAACCACGUUCUCCUGGCACCGAAAGGACACGCAGGAGAGUCUGGGGAGGAAAACUCAGCCUUCCCCAAGAGCAGAGUCGGAGCCCCCUGCCAUCAGGUAGAGCCAUGCAGGAGGAUACUACUGUACAGCAGACAACAGCUACGGCCCCGUUCAGAGCACGCUGCUGAAUGUCACUGUUCAGUUCCAGUGUCGCGUCUUCUCCUCAGCUUCAUUGCUCCUGGCGCCCUGGCCUUCAUUGGCCAUGUGGUGGAGCUUCACUGCGAAGACAGGAGAGCGUCUGCACCCAUUCUGUUUUGGUGUUACCAUGAAAAUGUGACUCUGGGGAAAGCCUCAGCACCUUCUGGAGGAGGAGCGUCCUUCAACCUCUCCGUCGCCGCAGAGCAUUCUGGGAACUACUCCUGUGAGGCCGACAAUGGCUGGGGAUCCCAGCGCAGUGAGGUGGUGGCACUCACGGUCAGAGCCCCCGACCAAAGUCCGUUUGAUUAAUGGUCCUCACCACUGCAAAGGAAGAGUGGAAGUGGAACAGGAAGGUCACUGAGGUACCGUGUGUGAUGACAGCUGGGACAUGAAGGAUGUGGCCGUGGUGUGCCAGGAGCUGGGCUGUUGAGCAGCCAAGCACACACCUGCUGGCAUGUUGUAUUCAAGAGUGGCAGAAGAGGCCCAACCUGUGUUCAUUCAGGUUGCCCUGUGCCAUAGGACAGAAGAGGCACUGGCUGAAUGUGAGCAAAUUGAGACCUUUGACUGUGGGCAUGAGGAGGAUGCAGGAGCAGUGUGUGGUGUUGGGUAAUGG
rnacentral:lncRNA from 1 species